rnacentral:rRNA from 1 species
UGAAUACGAGACGCUAAGGCGUCGAAGUAGUGUAUGUCAUACUUCCAAGAAAAGCUUGCACUGUCAUAGAUAAAAAACGCCUGUACCAUAACCGACACAGGUGGGUAGGUAGAGUAUACUAAGGGGCGCGAGAUAACUCUCUCUAAGGAACUCGGCAAAAUAACUCCGUAACUUCAGGAGAAGGAGUGCCUUAUUCGUAAGGUUGCAAUAACAAGAUCCAAGCAACUGUUUAUCAAAAACACAGGUCUCCGCUAAGUCGUAAGACGAUGUAUGGGGGCUGACGCCUGCCCAGUGCCAGAAGGUUAAAGAAGUUGGUUAGCAAUUGCGAAGCUGAUAACUGAAGCCCUGGUGAACGGCGGCCGUAACGAUAACGGUCCUAAGGUAGCGAAAUUCCUUGUCGGGUAAGUUCCGACCCGCACGAAAGGCGUAAUGAUUUGGAUACUGUCUCGGAGAGGGGCUCGGUGAAAUAGACUUGUCUGUGAAGAUGCGGACUACCUGCACCAGGACAGAAAGACCCUAUGAAGCUUUACUGUAACUUGAAAUUGAAAUUGGACUUUAUUCGCGCAGUAUAGGUGGGAGGCGUUGAUUAUAAUCUUGCGGGAUAAUUGGAGCCAUCAGUGAGAUACCACUCUUGUAAUGUUAGAUUUCUAACUUUGAAUCAUUAUCUGGUCAAAGAACAGUUUCAGGCGGGCAGUUUGACUGGGGCGGUCGCCUCCUAAACGGUAACGGAGGCGUACAAAGGUUUCCUCUGAACGGUUAGAAAUCGUAUCUAGAGUGUAAAGGCAUAAGGAAGCUUGACUGUGAGACCUACAAGUCGAGCAGGGACGAAAGUCGGUCUUAGUGAUCUGACGGUACUGAGUGGAAAGGCCGUCACUCAACGGAUAAAAGUUACUCUAGGAUAACAGGCUGAUCUCCCCCAAGAGUUCACAUCGACGGGGAGGUUUGGCACCUCGAUGUCGGCUCAUCGCAUCCUGGGGCGGUAGUACGUCCCAAGGGUUGGGCUGUUCGCCCAUGAAAGCGGUACGCGAGCUGGGUUCAGAACGUCGUGAGACAGUUCGGUCCAUAUCCGGUGUAGGCGUUAGAAUAUUGAGAGGAGCCUUCUUUAGUACGAGAGGACCGAGAAGGACAUACCUCUGGUGUACCAGUUAUCGUGCCAACGGUAAACGCUGGGUAGCUAUGUAUGGAGUGGAUAACCGCUGAAAGCAUCUAAGUGGAAAGCCCACCUCAAGAUAAGUAUUCUCAAC